AUGUUGUCUUUGGACUAUUAUGCACUUUCUUUACUGAUUCUCACCAUUCUAACAGGUGUCAGCUGUGAAGAUCUCACUCCAACCAACAAAGAAGUGUUCAGUGUAGAAGGCAGCACUGUUACUCUGUCCUAUAGAUACUCCAAAGCUGCUGAUGGUAGAGAUUCCUUCUUCUGUGAAGUCACUGAAACAGAAGGAGAAUCUGUCACACUCACAUGUAACUAUCAGACAGAUGCAGGUGGUGCUUAUCUUCACUGGUACAGACAUCAUUCUGACCUUCAGGCUCCGCAGUUUAUACUCUGGAAAGGAGCAAGAGGAUCCACAACUCAGUAUAUUCCUGAUAAUCGAUAUCAGUCCACAACAUCAGAUACAUCAACUAAUCUGACCAUAACAGCCCUAACCCUGGCAGACACAGCUCUCUACUACUGUGCUCUAGAAACACAGUGAUACAAAGUGUAGAAGAGGCUGUACAAAAACCUGAACACAGAUAUCUGACUACUCUUCAAAGAGGAGGGAAGUGGUAUUCAAAGCACAGCUUCAUAUCAGAUGGAUUCUGCUAAUUCCUGUUUUAUCAGAGUCACUGUGGUUACAGCUGCUAAUGAAACACUGUGGGAGGAUUCACAUGAGCAGCAAAUCCACAUCAACCACAAACCAACUGUAGGAACGUUCAGACACAAUAAAAACUGUCAAACAUCAAAA